rnacentral:rRNA from 1 species
AUAGUUACAUAACAAAACUAUUCGCCAGAGUACUACUCGCAACUGCCUAAAACUCAAAGGACUUGGCGGUGCUUCACAUCCACCUAGAGGAGCCUGUUCUAUAAUCGAUAAACCCCGAUAGACCUUACCAACCCUUGCCAAUUCAGCCUAUAUACCGCCAUCUUCAGCAAACCA